rnacentral:rRNA from 1 species
CUGGAGAAGGUUCCAAGGGGUCGGCUGUUCGGCGAUUAUAAUGGCACGCGAGCGGGGUACAAAACGUCGUGAGACUGUUUGGUCCCUAUCUGGUGCGGGCGUUGGAAGAUUGAGGGGGCCCGGUCUUAGUACGAGAGGACCGGACUGGACGAACCUCCGGUGAAUCUGUUGUCGCGGCAGCGGCACGGCAGAGUGGCCGAGUUCGGUUAGGAUAAGCGCUGAAAGCAUCUAAGCGCGAAGCCUGCCCCGAGAUGAGUCUUCCUUGAGGGCCGCGGAAGAAUACCGCGUUGAUAGGCAGCAGGUGUAAAUACGGCAACGUAUGAGCCGAGCUGUACUAAUAGCCCGAAAGCUUUCUUACU